rnacentral:lncRNA from 1 species
GCAUUGGGCUCUUACAGCCUACCGGGAACAUCCCUUACAAAGGGCUGUGAAACGCAGUUUCUUUGCAGGCCUGAUCUGGCUGAAGUAGAACUUCUGCUCUGGGUGUGCUACAUUGCUCUAGAGCUUCAAGGCACAAACUGCUGAAUUGUUUCCAAAGACAGAGAUAGGCCCCAAAGCAUCUUGCUUCCAGCUCUAUGGGAAGCUAUGAAACAACUCGCUCUGCACAGUGUUCUUACAGCCUAUGGGGAACAUCUCUUACAAAGUCCUGUUGAACGCAGUUUCUUGGCAGGCCUGAUCUGGCUGAAGUAGAACUUCUGCUGUGGGUGUGCUACAUUGCCCUAGAGCUUCAAGGCACAAAGUGCUGAAUUGUUUCCAAAGACAGAGAUAGGCCCCAAAGCAUCUUGCUUCCAGCUCUUUGCGAAGCUAAGAAUCAACUCGCUGUGCACAGUGCUCUGACAGCCUACCGGGAACAUCUCUUCCAAAGGCCUGUGAAACGCACUUUCUUGGCAGGCCUGAUCUGGCUGAAGUAGAACUUCUGCUCUGGGUGUGCUACAUUGCCCUAGAGCUGCAAGACACAAAGUGUUGCCUUCUUUCCAAAGGGCAGAUGAGUCGCAAAGCAUUUUGCUUCCAGCUCUUUGGGAAGCUAAGAAACAAGUCCCUCUGCACAGUGCUCUUACAGCCUACCGGGAACAUCUCUUACAAAGGCCUGUGAAACGCAGUUUCUUUGCAGGCCUGAUACGGCUGAAGUAGAACUUCUGCUCUGGGUGUGCUACAUUGCCCUAGAGCUGCAAGGCACAAAGUGCUGCCUUCUUUCCAAAAG